rnacentral:tRNA from 1 species
GGGGAUUUAGCUCAGCGGCAUAAGCACCUGCCUUGUAAGCAGGUGGUCAUGACUUUGAAUCCCGG